rnacentral:lncRNA from 1 species
AUGCCUUUUGUAUCUUUAUUGACUUUAGUAGAGUAAUUUACCUUUUCUAUAUCAUCAAUAUUAGUUUUCAAAGAUGGCUUAGACUCAGCUUUAUCUUCAAGAUGCUUCAAUCCCUUUAAAUCUUCAAAACUAUUUUUAAGGCUACUCCUUAAAGAUUUUAUAUCCUUUGAAAGUUCAUCAAUGAAAUCUUGACGUGAUUGUCUUUCUAUCUUCUUUAGCUUAGGUU